ensembl:lncRNA
UCCUCAAGCAAGAUUAUCAAACUAUUUAAAACUUUCAUAUAGUUAUUUACUUUCUUAGAAUAGUUUUACUGCCUCUUCAACGUUCUCUCCUCCCUCCCAGUUACUAAAUAUGUCAUUUAAACAUAUUAUUUGACAUUUAUUUGCCUCCAUAUGUGACUUUCCUUUACUCCUUUUUUCCUGUCUUUGCUCAUUUUUCUUCUCUUUCACACUCUCUGUCACUCUUCUCAACCCUUCUUCUGGCUGUUUAAUUUCCUCCUUUCCUCCCAAUUCAUUUUAUCUCUGCCUGGUAUCCCUCCCGCUUCCCUGUUUAUUUUUUUCAUAAAAAUAAUUGUAAUCCUUUUACUGUGUCAACAUUUGAGCAGUCCUCAGUACAUAAAUGGUGUGUUACGGUGUAGCAUGUAUGUGUGUGAGUGGCCCCUCACACCAAGCUGGGGCCUGGUUCCCCUGACAAGAAAUCCAUUAUCUUCACGAUACUCUUGGACUCGGAGGAAAUUGAGUUACGCAACCUUAUCGACUUUCCAGGACUUGGAGUUCUUUUUACCCAGAACUAACUUAAGUUUAUUUUUGUCUCUGUCUCGGUCUCAAUCCGUCUCUUUUGUUUGGCGGGAAUAUCUAAGUCAGAGAAGGUCAUGGAAAAAAAGUCUCAUUUAGAUCAGAAAUCAUCUUGGCUAUGGGAGACAUGGGACUAAACUCAACACCACGCGCAAAGUCAAAACUCUUAUGCACAUUUAGGGCUUGAGAAAAAUGCGUAUUCUGGAUAUCGCCCUCAUUCUUUUUUGUUCAGAUACGUUGCUUAGGUGAUUAUUUCUCUUAUUAUAAGUGUUUUCGUGUUCAGUUCAACAAGACUUGUCAUUCAACUAUUUCCCGUCGAAGAAAACACAGAAGCAGAAUUUAUCCCAGGAAUACACCCCCAACCUUUUACUCUCUCAAUGAAAAUUUGUCAACACAAAUGAGCAAUUAUUGAUAUUGAACCACACAUGUCACACUAUCUUUUAGUAAGACCAACAGAUGAUCCUCAUGCACACCAAGAACUGCAAUGAGGGCGCCCGGGCUUCAUGUGACACAUGGACGUCUGAAUCGGGGGCUCAUUAAGACUUGGGAAGCAAAUAUCAGUGACUCUUCCACUCAACCGGAGAGAUUCAUGGUGUUAACAACCAGAAGGUUAAUGUUGUGAAAUGAUUAAAAUCAGCCAAUGUUUUUGUCACAUAAUCAGGGCUAAUUAGCUGACAAAUGAAUCAGAAAAACAGUAAUUAAAGUGGCAAUCAAACCUCAGGGUGAAUCCGAGCACCGGUGCUGUCAACUCACAGGGACAAUGUUUGCAAGAUGCAAAUCCUGAUAAGUCAUUCGCGUGACUUGUGAAGGAGUCACGAUGACGUGAAAAGUGAUGAUUAGAAUUAUGGACUAUUGUUCGGCUUGGCUAGAUGUAGUAAUUAAUUUCUCCUGCCACAACAAGUGGCACCCGGCCCCCCCUGCUGAUGUCGUCUAAUUGGUGAUGUGCCGAGUCCGUUCCCACAUCUGUUGACAAAGACGGAUUGACGUCUUCAGAACCCGAAACUGACAAAUUGUUUGCAACAAGCUUGUUUCUCUAUGAGUCAGACAGGACUCGGCUUUAAAUGUGGGGGAAGAACACAUGAGAGGAUAGACGUCCGCCAAAGUAGUUUAAAGAGAGGGAAAUGAUUCGUUCUGUUUCAUCGCUGGAUCUGAUCUCUAUGACGUCGUGGCUCAGUGAAAGUAGAACAUCCUCAAAAGUCUCAGGUGAUUUCGUCAACGCUGCUCCAUCACAGAGAAGAUUUCCAGCUGUCGAACUCAUGAUGGUUUUCAUCAGUGGAUGAUUGUCAUCAUUAUGUUUGGUACGCUGAGGAAAAUGACUUUUCAGAUAGAAAAAUACACACAUCCUUUAUUUAGACUGUUCUUAUAUUCCCUGUCAAGUCAAGAUCAUCUCUGUUUGCAUGGUAGAAGACGUCUUUGAGGAUAAUUGUGAAAGAACCUUUUGUUGCAUUAUCGUUCUAAAUCAGCGUGCUACCUCACUGGGAAAAUUACUCAAAUGCAGUCCUGAGAUAUCGUGUGUGGUUAUUUUUUUCACAAUCCAGUGAACAAUUCUCUUUUUUUUGUAAUGCAAUCAAAAGUUGUUAUUGCUCAUAGCCUGAGGUGUUUUUCCAUCCUAUUACCCCGCGUAGCAUCUUUUCAACAGCCCAAUCAUCACUGCCCAACGCAUCUGUCAAUAUUAUCAACCACUCUAGCUGUGAUGGCUUCGAGACAAUCAGAGGUCAGGAGAAAAAUAGUCCCCAUAUGUCAAAAUGCGGCACGCUUGAGUUUAGCUUCAGGGAAAAGGCCAUGAGACAAAAAGGGGGGUUUGCAAGUCGCCGCUCCGGAGAGAUCUUGGUGAAUAUGUCCGUGCUCUCUGACAACUUGACAGCAUCGAAAGACACAAAUGUUUCUGUCACACAAACUGUCAAUUUCAGAGGCUAAAAUUACAACUGUGGAAGCAACACAGACACGUUGCUGUUGCGCGUCUCAAAACGUCAAGGUUACAAAGACAUCUGUCGCACACAAUUUGCAAAAGCUGAGUUCAACUAGUGGCGACACCUCAAGGGCUCUCAUUUAGCUUUUUCUUUUUCCUCCCCGUUGGCAAACGAUUGAAUGCUCAGUGUUACUCAUCUGCUUCCCCUCACUUCAGAAAACAGUGGCUUACUUUGGCAACACUGAUGAAAGAGUAACGCGUGUGCUAAUUUAUGGGUUCUCCUCUGCUCUCUUUGGAUAUUAUGAGGUCGUGCAUUUUAUGAUGAAACUACUUUCAAACCAAAGAAAGACUUUAACAGAGAUAUUCACAAUGAGCCAGUCAAAAAAGAUGACGCAGAUCAUUUCCCCCACAAAGUUUAGUUCAGGUGUUCAGCUCUGUAACCUCGAGCAAAGGGCACGGAAACCUUCCCGAGAUGCGGAUGUUUUUAUGGAUGGUUGGAUGGAUAAACAGGGCGUGUAGCGAAGAGGGGGUGGAGCUCUGCACUCCAAAAGUUAUGUGACAGCAAGCAGCAUCUGACCUUAUCAGCGUGAGAGGAAAUCUACCGUUUCAGGUUCAAAGAGCUAAUGAAUAUAAAUGAAAGGCAUCGACAAAAAUGAAUUGGCCUUAGAUUAAAGAUCAGACCCAUCUGUAAUUGUGAUUAUGCAUGCAUUCGCUCCAUCGAACAGAUGAAAGAUAUCAAUCGAUGGCAAGCAUCAGCACUUUCUGCGUUUAACGGGCCAAUAACCUGUCCUCUUCUCCCCUCUCUCUCCUUGCAGGCUUAGGGGUUCUUCAUGGUGUGUGUGUGUGUGUGUGUGUGUGUGUGCAUGUGUGGGCAUCCCUCACCACGGUAGUCAUUGCUAACUAAAUGAUUUGCAGCGUUCGUGAUUAACGCAUUAUAAAGCUUUUUCCUGAUUCUGUGAUUCUGUUAAAGCCGACCUACCUUCUAAAGAGCAUAUUUGUAGUUUUUCUUCAGCGAACAAAGAAAAAGUUACCCGGGAGACAGCUUUCAAUAGAAUAUAUUCUCAAACAUGUAAAACUUGGCUGUGAGUAUCUGAAGCCUCGUUAU